rnacentral:rRNA from 1 species
CUUUCAGCGACGGAUGUCUUGGCUCCCACAACGAUGAAGAACGCAGCGAAAUGCGAUACGUCUUGCGACUUGCAGAAUCCAGUGAAUCAUCAAAACUUUGAACGCAUCUUGCGCUUCCGGGAUAUGCCUGGGAGCAUGCUUGUCGGAGUGUCU